UUCAUUUCCUCUGCUGCUGAUCGUUAGACCAGUUGCUGGAAUCGUGUUUAUUUUACUGAUCUUACUUUGUUGGUACAGAAGGUCUAAAGGUUUUUCUACAGAGCAGACGGUCAACCAGUAUGAAAAUCAGCAGCAAGUUUACUCCUCUCUCCUCCACGGAGACAUUUCUGUCUAUGAAAGAAUCAGACGCUCUGAAAACUCUCCAGAUGGUACAGUAUGAACUUUAAG